rnacentral:rRNA from 1 species
UACGGGGGGGGGUAAGCGUUGUUCGGAAUUAUUGGGCGUAAAGAGCUCGUAGGCGGUUUGUCGCGUCUGCUGUGAAAGACCGGGGCUCAACUCCGGUUCUGCAGUGGGUACGGGCAGACUAGAGUGCAGUAGGGGAGACUGGAAUUCCUGGUGUAGCGGUGAAAUGCGCAGAUAUCAGGAGGAACACCGAUGGCGAAGGCAGGUCUCUGGGCUGUAACUGACGCUGAGGAGCGAAGGUCAGGGGAGCAAACGGG